GCCUGGGUGGCUCAGUGAUUGAGCACCUGCCUUUGGCUCAGGAUGUGAUCCUGCUGUCCCAGGAUCAAGUCCUGCAUCAGGCU
rnacentral:tRNA from 1 species